GAGGAUUACACUGUCUCCCCCCCUAAAUCAAUGAAACUGAUCCCCCCGUGAAGAAGCGGGGAUAAAUAUAUAAGACGAGAAGACCCUAUGGAGCUUUAAACUAAACACCACUUACCUUCAACUACUCCCUUACAAACAGGUAAAGAUCGUGUGUGUUUUCAGUUGGGGUGACUGCGGAGCAAAAUAAAACCUCCACGAUGAAAUAAUCCUCUAAUCUAAGAACAACAUUUCAAAGAAUCAACAAAUUGACAUAAAUUGACCCAAAUAUUAAUUUGAUCAACGAACCAAGUUACCCUAGGGAUAACAGCGCAAUCCAUUUCAAGAGCUCAUAUCGACAAAUG
rnacentral:rRNA from 1 species